rnacentral:tRNA from 1 species
AAUGAAUAGUUUAAUUUAAAAUAUUAGUUUUGGAGACUAAAGUUGUAGAGGUAUUUCAUUGAU